rnacentral:rRNA from 1 species
GACGAACGCUGGCGGCGUGCUUAACACAUGCAAGUCGAACGGAAAGGCCCUGCUUUUGUGGGGUGCUCGAGUGGCGAACGGGUGAGUAACACGUGAGUAACCUGCCCUUGACUUUGGGAUAACUUCAGGAAACUGGGGCUAAUACCGGAUAGGAGCUCCUGCUGCAUGGUGGGGGUUGGAAAGUUCCGGCGGUUGGGGAUGGACUCGCGGCUUAUCAGCUUGUUGGUGGGGUAGUGGCUUACCAAGGCUUUGACGGGUAGCCGGUCUGAGAGGGUGACCGGCCACAUUGGGACUGAGAUACGGCCCAGACUCCUACGGGAGGCAGCAGUGGGGAAUAUUGCACAAUGGGCGGAAGCCUGAUGCAGCAACGCCGCGUGCGGGAUGACGGCCUUCGGGUUGUAAACCGCUUUCGCCUGUGACGAAGCGUGAGUGACGGUAAUGGGUAAAGAAGCACCGGCUAACUACGUG